UUAUUGACUUCAGAUCAUGCUCGAUGCUGUUCUGCACAAAAUCAUGCAAUCAUGUUUUUGCCGCCAGUGCUAAUUAGCUAAUUCCACUCUGGUGAUUUCUAAUAAGCUCUCUUAUAGACUCUCGAUAAAGCGUACGAUUCUCUGCAAAAGGGUUCCGAGUUGUAUUUUUGGUCGUGCAUGAAUUGUUGCAGAUCUUGCUAGUGCUUAUGUAUCACAUGGCAGUAGAGGCGUCAUUGUCAGCGCUGCCUUGCACGAGACGCACUAUUGCAAUCCCACCCCCAUAAAAUCACUGUUCGCGCACUUAAUAUGUCUAGUUUAUUAUUAUAGCCAUUUUGUGCUUGCUCACAAAGUAUUCUAUAUGAUUUUAUAUCUAACACCUGUCAAACAAGCUAGCGUGGUUCCAUUCGUGAAGAAGAAAGUUUGGAAGUUGUAGUUUUUUGCGUGCACUGUAGAAUCUCCAUGUUAUGAGAUUGUCUGCACUGCUAGACUACAUUUCCCAUAAUGCAGUAGUCAAACGCGCCGCCACUUUUCGUUGAGCGUAGCCAUUCAUUUUUGCGAAUCGGUUCUUUUGAACAGUAUAGUGAACAGUUCAUAAAAUGGCUCAGCUGCGCUUUACGUAAUCACGUGGACCCUGACACUUCCACUUUAAAGUGUGUUUUCCUCCAUGUCUGCAGUGGUAAUAACCCUGGUAGUAAAAUAUAAUCGGUGCAGACUGA